rnacentral:rRNA from 1 species
UACGUAGGGUGCGAGCGUUGUCCGGAAUUACUGGGCGUAAAGGGCGCGUAGGCUGCGGGGUAAGUCGGGUGUGAAAUCUCAGAGCUCAACUCUGAAACUGCACUCGAUACUGCUUUGCUUGAGGACUGGAGAGGAGAUUGGAAUUCACGGUGUAGCAGUGAAAUGCGUAGAUAUCGUGAGGAAGACCAGUGGCGAAGGCGGGUCUCUGGACAGUUCCUGACGCUGAGGCACGAAGGCCAGGGGAGCAAACGGG